GACUCUCAUAAACUUGAGUCUUAAGUCACGAAAAAGGGCCAACUCUCACGUGUUGGCAGAAAGUUACCAAAAUAUGUUAAGGACUUAAUUCAGAGAUAAUGUUGCUAAACGAUUUACAGUCGAUAAUCUUUCGAAAGCAGAAAAACUCAGUGUCAAACAAAGAAUACGCGAAUUAUUUGAGAUAUGAUUGAAAUUUGCAAAGAAAGUAAAAAUCAAACUAGUUUCAUUCUAAGUUAUUGUAUAUAAUUUUAAAAUUUUGGAACAGAAGUGAUGCAAUGUUUAUUUA